CCAGAAAUUAGAAACAGUUCUUUCCCAGUUUCACACCUCUCUCUCUCCGUGGAUUCGAAGAAAGAACCGAAACCCUAACCCUAAUCUUUGAUCGAGGAGGAGGAGAUGCUGUUCCAAGUGGGAGGGCAGGGGACGCGGCCGACCUUCUUCGAGAUGGCGGCCGCGCAGCAGCUCCCAGCCAGCCUCAGGGCCGCCCUCACCUACUCCCUCGGGGUGUUUGCCUUGAGAAGGCCAUUCCUUCACAAGGUGUUAGAUUAUGAUGAUGAAUUCUUUGCCUUGUUGAUGAUGGUGCUUGAAAGUCACAGUUUACGAACCACAGAUGCUUCUUUUUCGGAGUCCUUGUAUGGUCUACGAAGGAGAGCAGUGAAGAUUAUCCACAAAAAACAUUCUUCUAAUAUGGAAUCAAAUGAUAAAAUCCAUCACUCGGGAUUAGAGAAGCACCAAAAAGUUGCCUCAGUUGCAUUUCUGGUCAUUUUGCCUUAUAUAAAGUCAAAGCUUCAUUAUAUUUACAACAAAGAAAGGGAAGCAAGGCUUCAAGCAAGUCUUUGGGGUCAUGAUGAUGCAAGAUUUGAUGACACAGGCUUCGUCCUAGAUCAAGGAGAGAGCUCUCAUUCACAAAUUGAAGCUUCAAGUGUCGAAGGAUCACGCAUGACACACCUAAAAAAGAGAAUUAUGGAAAUUAUAGCUUGUUGCUACCCCUGGAUUCAUGCGACCAAUGAGGGAUUAUCAUUUGCUUACCAACUAUUGUAUCUGCUGGAUGCUACUGGCUUCUAUAGUCCAGAUCUACAUGCACUUGGGAUUCAUGUAUGUCGGGCAACAGGACAAGAACUGGUAGAUGGAUUCCUCUUCUAGAAUUUCAAGGAUCAGAAGUCGCGAACUUGAAAGACUAAGGGGCCCUCUGUGGUUGAAGGCAGUUCAGAGAGUUCUGCUUAGCUGCGUAUACACAACAUUAGAUUAUGCACAAACUGGUCUAAUUGCUGCAGUAUUCUUUUUCAAGGUGAGCAGACCUUACCUACUUUUGAAAUUCUAAAUGUAAUUUGCAUGGAGGCAUCUUAAUUCACUCAAAUAUACACAUCUUUUCCUUUCUCUGGUAAUUUUAGAGGUUUGUUAUAAUCGGCCUGUAGUUGCUUUAUCUGUUUAUCAUACAGUGAUUUUUUUUCCCAGAAUAUUAAUCAUCCUUAUAUUAUAUCUUGAGUAUUUUAUGCAUUAUUCAAAAUUCUUCUGUUUUUUUUAUGUUAAAAAAAUAGUAGGGAACAUUGCAUUAAUAGCCAUUCCCAUUCUCAUAUUUGUAGAAAUGGCCAAUUUUAUUUCCUUUCGCAGGAUCAGCUGUUUUCUAUUUCUUUGACUGAAUUGCCCCUGGCCUGAUCAACAAAGAACAAUGUGCAUUCAAUAUUCAGAUUUUUGCACUCUCAAAUAUAUGCAUCAGUUUAAAGUAUGCACCCUCGAGGUGCAUAUACUGAUCUAUAUUUUGUAUCUAUGAAUGAAAGUGUGCUCUAGUUAGUCUAAAUGUAUGAAUCACAUUUAUUAUGCCUCAACUUGUCUAAAGUGUGUGUAUUUUCCUGGACUGUCUUAUGUAUUUAACAAUUGCAUUGGAUAAUGUAAAUGUGAAAGAAUCAACUAGUCAUUUUAGAUUUUCUUUUUCCUUGAGUAAAAUGGAGAUCUGAAGUUCACCUGAGUAAUAGGGUAAGAAAGACUAUGAAGAUCCCUCAAAAGAAGGGAGAAAAGAGUAGGGACCUAAAUUCUAAGACUGUUACAGCUCUCAAGACAUUUUCUCAACUAUCAGCAUUUUUCCUAUCAGAUAGAGACGUCCUCUCAGAUAAUAAGUAUAGAGAGUGCUGAAAUACUCUAUCCACUGAAGAGAGACCUUGCUUGAGAAAAUUCUGCUAUUCCUUUCCUUCCGUAGACACCAACAUAGAGCAAAGACAGCCUGAUCUCAGCCUCUCUAAGGUUUAUGCGGAACUUCUUUCUUCGCCAUACUGUCCAAAGCUGAAGUAGGGAUUUUGGCUUCCCUCGUAGGUUCCAAGUAUUUAUCGACUUUCUCUAAAUGGCACUGGAAAAAUGACCGAUAGAAAUAAAUGAUGGUUCAAUUCCUUUGGGUGGUCAGCAAGGCAGCACCCUCCUUGAAGAGUCCAUCCUUUCCUGGCCAUAACUUAGUAUGUAGCUGUCAUUUUAGAUGGGGACAACUUGUUAAACAUAGUCUGAAUGUGUGCACUGCAUGGCAUGUGCACAAGUCUCCUUGAAACUAUGACUCAUAUAGUCUAGAAGCAACUUGGGCAGGAAAAAUUCAAAAAUGGCUUAUCAUGCAAAAAGAAAUAAAAAUGGCUGUUUCUGCUGAAAAUGUGAAUGG